UAGUCAUAUGCUUGUCUCAGAGAUUAAGCCAUGCAUGUCUAAGUAUAAGCAAUCUUAUACAGCGAAACUGCGAAUGGCUCAUUAAAUCAGUUAUAGUCUACUUGAUCGUAUCUUCUUACAUGGAUAACCGUAGUAAAUCUAGAGCUAAUACAUGCUAAAAAUCCUGGACGCGGCAACGCGGAAGGGACGAGUUUAUUAGAUUAAAAACCGACACCUCUCCGCGAGGGGAGGUAGCACAGGUGAUUCACAGUAACCGAUCGGAUCGUCGGCCCCGCCGACGACGAUGCAUACGAGUUUCUGCCCUAUCAACUUUAGAUGGUAGAGUAUCGGUCUACCAUGGUCGUAACGGGUGACGGGGGAUUAGGGUUCGAUUCCGGAGAGGGAGCCUGAGAAACGGCUACCACUUCCAAGGAAGGCAGCAGGCGCGCAAAUUACCCAAUCCCGACACGGGGAGGUAGUGACAAGAAAUACCAUUGUAAUGUCUCCUCGAGAGGCUUACGAUUGGAAUGAGUACAAUUUAAAUCCCUUAACGAGUAACGAUU
rnacentral:rRNA from 1 species